GUAGGUGGCAAGCGUUGUCCGGAAUUAUUGGGCGUAAAGCGCGCGCAGGCGGUUCUUUAAGUCUGAUGUGAAAGCCCACGGCUCAACCGUGGAGGGUCAUUGGAAACUGGAGAACUUGAGUACAGAAGAGGAAGGCGGAAUUCCACGUGUAGCGGUGAAAUGCGUAGAGAUGUGGAGGAACACCAGUGGCGAAGGCGGCUUUUCUGGUCUGUAACUGACGCUGAGGCGCGAAAGCGUGGGGAGCAAACAGGGAUUAGAUACCCUGGUAGUCCACGCCGUAAACGAUGAGUGCUAAGUGUUAGGGGGUUUCCGCCCCCUUAGUGCUGCAGCUAACGCAUUAAGCACUCCGCCUGGGGAUACGGCCGCAAGGCUG
rnacentral:rRNA from 1 species